UUUCCUAGAAAAUGGAUCUGCUCCAGUCUUUAUUUCAAUAUACAGUACAACGUGUGUAUCUCUCCCAACGUAAAACACAUAAUACUGAUUUAGAAUAGCACCAAUUAAUCUGUAAUAACAAAUGGGUAAAUAAACAUAUUUGCAUCGUUAUGAAUAAUUUAGUAGUAUAACUUAUUUUUAUGAAUGGAGAUACGUCAUUCAACAAGGCCAACUGUAAAGGGAGACAUUUACAAAACAAACACAAAGCAUCACAAAAUUAAAAUUACGCAAUUGAGGUGUUUGCUAGCCAAUUUCACCUUGCUCUGCGAUGUUUAACCUUAUAGUGGAUCAGAGUAGACGUAUACAAAAUGAUAACAUCAACAAUACUGGUAUGGUUUCAUUGAUCAAUAAUAGGCCAAAGUAGAUAGAGCGCGAACUUUCGGGUAAGUUGAGGGUAGUGCAAGGCAAGUAAGGGUGUGAAUUGAAAGUGAGCAGCAAGAAAACCGUAGCCCAUAAUACUCAUUCUGUCAUUGAAUUCUCACUGCAGCUAUAGCUAUUUUGCGUUUUGUAUGUUAUGUUGAGAAGUAAAUUAAAAAAAAAGCGUCACUUCCUAAACCUGGUUUGGUUGCUUCCAAAAUUCCUUUGAGAUUAAUUCCACCGUCGACCAUCUCCAUGACAUAAACCAAAGCUGCAAACCCAGCAAAGCGUGAGAAAGCAUACAAAAAUGUGUGUGUGGGGGGGGGGAUAAAUCAGACAAAAGUAAACCUUGAACACGAAUGAUGUUGUGAAGGGGUUAGUUAAUAGAUUCUACAUGAACUGAGAUCAGGGAGCCUCGCAGUAGGUCUCAUUGGCCCACCGGAGACGUGAAGGACACAUCUCCAGGGAGGUUAAGUCAAAGCUCCCAUACCCAUGCAGCCUCACUCCCUCCAGCAGGAUUCUGGGAAAGAAACGCUCCCAAUUUCCUUCCUUAAGAGGACGCAUAAUAAACCCUGUGUCUCUACAGGAGCGAGAACCCCCCCCCCCCCUCUGUGAGGCUCCCCAGUCUCUGUUCAGUAAGCCCCAACCGGACAAAGAAGGAAAACGCUGCUUCAAGAGGUUACCCAAAGGGUAGAUCAAAAAAAAGAAGAGAGGAAGCGAGGUGCGCCACACUCACACUUCCAGAUUUAAAAAAAACGAUUGCGGCGGCAGAGUAAUGUGUAACCAUCGACAGAGCAAUCCCAACUGUUUCACUCAAACUAGGCCGAUGUUCACCGAGGCUAAAAGAUGAACAGAGGAGGAUUCCUCAACUAUUAGUGGACAUCACUUAUUUAUCUAAUCUGAUUGGCUGUAGUCUUUUUGAACAAAAUUUUCAGAAAUCUUUUGCUCCCCAUUCAAGACACAGUUUCAGUGUGAAACGAGAAGCUAGAAUAUCUGGAUGGUAUUACAGCUCUAAUUUUAACAAGUUUACGCCUUGUAUGUUCAACAUAUGCUGCAAUGAUUUGAGUAAGUGGUUCACUUAUACCCACCCUUGCGUGACAUGCAUCUUUUACCUCAUUGAUACCCAUGAUAAUAAGCACAUGGAAAGGCAAACGGGAAAGAAUUGAAAUUCUGCUGUAUUAGGCUACAUAGAUAAUGAUUGUACAUUUUAAUUUAAUUCCUUACAAUAAUUAAAAACGACAUAGUUGGCCGGACAUCAAAACAUCCUCAUCAAUCAUAUUUAAUUUCUUAAUCUUCGUUGAAGAUGGACUGCAUUAUGAAUAUGCUACUCAGGCAUAUCUUACAAAUACCAACAGGUCUUCAUGAACGAAAGGUUAGCACUCCAAAGCAUGUCAUCUUAAAUGGACAGAAUAACGAUGUGAAGAGAUGAACAGACAUCAGCACUCAAUGCUUUUUUUGGAAAGGGGUUUUGGCUUCACUUCAAACCGGAUCAGGCAAGAGAUGAAAGGGUGUCCGUGAUUCAUCCGAUAAACCCGAGUUAACUGAACAUGUCAUUGACUUAAGAACGAUAAGGCAAGACUGGUAUUCAUGGCGGAACACAAAUCUGGGUGUCUGGAUUGUCGCAUGAGGCUAAGCACCCCUCUAUUAUAAAAGUAGAGAACUACUUUGACAAGAAGUUAAUACAAUCCAAAGCUAGGAUCCUCGGAUCAGGGGAACAUCAGGACUGGACCGGCAGCACGGGCUUCAGCCCUCCCACGUGAGGUGACCAUCAGCGCUAAAAGUAAAAAGUUCUCAAUUCAUAUGAACACACACUCGGUUCAUGAAUACAGCUGGACUUCAAGCUCUUUGUAUUUUCGCGCGUGAGUGUGUAUGUGUAUCUGUGUGCAUGUGUUCCUGUGUGUGUGUGUGUGUGCGUGUGUUUUUGUGCAUGCGUUUUAAUUCCCCUUGGUGUUCUUGGUGUGGGGUCUUGACGCCAUGCUAGCGUAAUAAGCGCACUGGCUGGGGUCGCACUGGCCGGUGGGUCCCGGGGGCCCGGUCUGCCCGUGGGGGCCGGGGUUCCCUGGCUCUCCCUGGGUGCCCACUUGUCCCGGGCUUCCGUCUUUACCGUAGCCGGGCAGACCGGCUGGGCCU
ensembl:lncRNA